rnacentral:rRNA from 1 species
GAUGAACGCUGGCGGCGUGCCUAACACAUGCAAGUCGAGCGAUCUCUUCGGAGAGAGCGGCGGACGGGUGAGUAACGCGUGGGUAACCUGCCCUGUACACACGGAUAACAUACCGAAAGGUAUGCUAAUACGGGAUAAUGUAUAAGAGUCGCAUGACUUUUAUAUCAAAGAUUUUUCGGUACAGGAUGGACCCGCGUCUGAUUAGCUUGUUGGCGGGGUAACGGCCCACCAAGGCGACGAUCAGUAGCCGACCUGAGAGGGUGAUCGGCCACAUUGGAACUGAGACACGGUCCAA